UAUCAAAAUUACCAACUGUACUGAGCUGGUCACCUAAACCAUCACACACAAAUGAAAACUAAAGAAAUUUUACUACUUGUUUAAAACUAAUCUGGUUUCUUUUCAGUAGAUUAAUAGGAAAUAUAUUUGUAACUGUGGAUGAAACUGAUCUUUUUUUACUCUUUCUUUAUUGUUUCCAUGUCCCUCAGCUCCAGGUUCCUCUGUCAAGAUCAUCACUGUAAGCAUCUGUGUGGCUCUGCUGCUGAUUGGAGGAUUAAUACUCAUCGUUUUUAUUGUGAUUCUAAAGAAAAGACGAGGCUCCACCCCUUCAGCCAGAACCAAUCAGAGUGACCAUAAUGAGGUUGGUUAUAGUUAUACUGUAUGUUUUAUGUGUUAAUGCGGUUUUAAACAACAACGUUUAGGUUUAAAGAUCUUCUCAUUCACUUUUGUCCUCGCUUAGGUUCCUGCUGUGGUCAGUAAAGAUGAAGAGACUGGACUCACCACCCAAACUCCACCCAAAGACCAAGAGCUCACCUACUCCACUGUGAGUUUCCAUAAGAACCCAGGUUCUCCCACUGAUGCCUCAGUUAGCGUUAAUAAGGAGGAACCUGAAACUGAAUACGCCACCGUCAAACCUCCUAAAGAACUAAAAUAACUCAGUUAAUCAGUACUCAACUAACUAUUUAUCACCAACUUACUGAUAGUUCUACAAAGAUCAGUCUUAAAAACUUGUUGUUUGUUGUAUAAAUGCUCAGAUUAUGUUUAACAAGUCUAUUUACAACCCUGUUAUUUUGCCUCAGAAUGGAAAGGUUAGUUUCCUAUAUUGCAAUGGACUUGUAAACGAUAUAAAAAAGUAAGUAAAGUAGUUUAUUUUAUUGAGUGGCAUUACUAGGCUAGCCUUGGUUAGCACUCUAAACAGACAGCCUUGUUAGAAACCAAUGAACUUAAUCAGCCACAUUCCCCACUUAGCAUUUAGCAACACCCUAGCAGCCACCUUGCAAUGCCAAAGCAAUCAACAUCUAGGAACAACAUACCAACCACCUAGCAAUAUCACUACCACAUCCUAACAACACUCUAGCAUCCAUCUAGGGACCACUUAGGAACUGUCCUAGCAACCAUCUGAUGUACCACAGCAGCCACCAAGAAUAUAAAACACCACAGCAACUGCUUGGGACACUAAAGAAACCAACUAAGACCUGGUCAAACAAAAACAUCCAUCUGAAAUGCAACAGCAUUCACCGAUAACAGUAUAGAAAAAAACUUAGCAACACCACAGUAACCACCUGCCAACAAUAUAACAAUCAUUUAGCAACACCUUAGCAACCACCAGCAUGCACCUAUCAAUGGCAUAGCAACCAUCAUCUAAGAACCACAUACCAACCUACUAGACAGAAAAAUAAAUGCUUUUUUUUUGGGUGGCA
rnacentral:lncRNA from 1 species